rnacentral:rRNA from 1 species
CCCGGUGGCCAUAGCGGAGGGGAGACACCCGGAACCAUUCCGAACCCGGAAGUUAAGCCCUCCAGCGCCGAUGAUACUGCCUGGGGAACUGGGCGGGAAAGUAGGACGCUGCCGGGA